GCAGGACGUCUGCGGUACGUGUGACGUCAUCACUUGACGUGACUUCCUGAGUGGGAGGGAGUGCCCCUUGGAGACCUGCCCGGCGCCUAUGGGAAGUUUCAGCAGGAUCAUUGAAAGUCAUAAGGAACCAGAACAAUUCUUUUGUGUGGGAGAUUGUCCUGUGUGUAAUUCCAGAUGUUCAACAUCCAUAGCUUACACUACAAAUGCCAAUAGACCUAAAGGAGGAUUAGAAUCCCAGUGAAGAAAGUACUCUGCCAUCAGCUACUUCAUGGCAUAGUUCAAAACAGGGCAGACACUCUCAGGAACCUGUGAGUAAACAGUAAAUGGUGACCAGCAUCCUGCCCCCAUUACUCCAUAUCUUGCCAUUUAAUUUUCUGCAAAAACAAAACACAUAAUUUAUCUUGGCAAUUGAGAACUUGCAAUUGCUUCUCUCUACCUUAUGUUGAA